CGAUGAGGUUUCUAUACUGAAAGGCUAGCCAUAUGAAGAUUUUGACCUUAGGCGGUAUAGAUAAGGACCAUAUGGCCAUAGGUAACUUUGAGAUUAUCCCAUUGUGGAUGAAGAAGUUGUAGGCACUGCUAACUGAGGAGAUACCAUUUGCUCGCCAUAUCCAGUGCAAGACGUCCUCUUCUGAUGCUAGAUGAAUAGUUGAGAGGAGCGUUUGUUAGCGG
rnacentral:lncRNA from 1 species